rnacentral:rRNA from 1 species
ACGUGCCAGCAGCCGCGGUAAUACGUAGGGUGCAAGCGUUAUCCGGAAUUAUUGGGCGUAAAGGGCUCGUAGGCGGUUCGUCGCGUCCGGUGUGAAAGUCCAUCGCUUAACGGUGGAUCCGCGCCGGGUACGGGCGGGCUUGAGUGCGGUAGGGGAGACUGGAAUUCCCGGUGUAACGGUGGAAUGUGUAGAUAUCGGGAAGAACACCAAUGGCGAAGGCAGGUCUCUGGGCCGUCACUGACGCUGAGGAGCGAAAGCGUGGGGAGCGAACAGGAUUAGAUACCCUGGUAGUCCACGCCGUAAACGGUGGAUGCUGGAUGUGGGGACCAUUCCACGGUCUCCGUGUCGGAGCCAACGCGUUAAGCAUCCCGCCUGGGGAGUACGGCCGCAAGGCUAAAACUCAAAGAAAUUGACGGGGGCCCGCACAAGCGGCGGAGCAUGCGGAUUAAUUCGAUGCAACGCGAAGAACCUUACCUGGGCUUGACAUGUUCCCGACAGCCCCAGAGAUGGGGCCUCCCUUCGGGGCGGGUUCACAGGUGGUGCAUGGUCGUCGUCAGCUCGUGUCGUGAGAUGUUGGGUUAAGUCCCGCAACGAGCGCAACCCUCGCCCUGUGUUGCCAGCACGUCGUGGUGGGAACUCACGGGGGACCGCCGGGGUCAACUCGGAGGAAGGUGGGGAUGACGUCAGAUCAUCAUGCCCCUUACGUCCAGGGCUUCACGCAUGCUACAAUGGCCGGUACAACGGGAUGCGACCUCGUGAGGGGGAGCGGAUCCCUUAAAACCGGUCUCAGUUCGGAUUGGAGUCUGCAACCCGACUCCAUGAAGGCGGAGUCGCUAGUAAUCGCGGAUCAGCAACGCCGCGGUGAAUGCGUUCCCGGGCCUUGUACACACCGCC